AACAGUUAUCUCUCCUAUCUCUCCUAUUUACACUUAUCUUAUCAAUGCAACAUUCGUUUAUACAUUACCUUUAAUGCUCUGAACACAUCAAUUCAAUAUUUCACUAUUAUUUCUCUCUUGCAAAUUUUAAAAACUAAAAUUCAUUUUCUCUCUCUUUGUAGUUUGUUCGUUUCUUCUUCUUCAAAACAUUGCAGAGCUAUUUGUUUUUCUUCUCAACUUCACAAACUCAUCAUUUCCACGAAAUUUGAUUUCACUAUACCACUUCUUCCAUUAUAUUCAUCCAUCUUCACACCAGAUCUCAUAUUCACACUAGAUAUGUUGGUCUUCAUUCAAGUAUUUCCAAAAAUAUUGAAAUCAACUUUUGUGAGAUUCAUCUAA